AUGACGGCGGUGGCGGCGGGGAGCGGCAACAGCAGGCCAAGGUGGCGCUGCCCUUCUCCGCCAUGUGCGUGCGGAUCUCCCGCGACUCCUACCCCAACCUCCACGCCCUCCACAACGCCUCCAACGACAGCCUCACCGCCGCCGCCUACGUCAAGAUCUCCGAGGGCGACUUCGGAUACGUCCUCGACGACGUGCCCCACCUCGCCGACUACCUCCCCGUGA
rnacentral:rRNA from 1 species